UACGAAGGGAGCUAGCGUUGUUCGGAAUCACUGGGCGUAAAGCGCACGUAGGCGGAUGUGUCAGUCAGGGGUGAAAUCCCGGAGCUCAACUUCGGAACUGCCCUUGAUACAGCACGUCUUGAGUCUGGAAGAGGUGGGUGGAAUUCCUAGUGUAGAGGUGAAAUUCGUAGAUAUUAGGAAGAACACCGGUGGCGAAGGCGGCCCACUGGUCCGGUACUGACGCUGAGGUGCGAAAGCGUGGGGAGCAAACAGG
rnacentral:rRNA from 1 species